AUAACAGUUGGAAACGGCUGCUAAUACCGCAUAAGCGCACAGCAUCGCAUGAUGCAGUGUGAAAAACUCCGGUGGUAUAAGAUGGACCCGCGUUGGAUUAGCUAGUUGGUGAGGUAACGGCCCACCAAGGCGACGAUCCAUAGCCGACCUGAGAGGGUGACCGGCCACAUUGGGACUGAGACACGGCCCAAACUCCUACGGGAGGCAGCAGUGGGGAAUAUUGCACAAUGGGCGAAAGCCUGAUGCAGCGACGCCGCGUGAGCGAAGAAGUAUUUCGGUAUGUAAAGCUCUAUCAGCAGGGAAGAUAAUGACGGUACCUGACUAAGAAGCACCGGCUAAAUACGUGCCAGCAGCCGCGGUAAUACGUAUGGUGCAAGCGUUAUCCGGAUUUACUGGGUGUAAAGGGAGCGCAGGCGGUGCGGCAAGUCUGAUGUGAAAGCCCGGGGCUCAACCCCGGUACUGCAUUGGAAACUGUCGUACUAGAGUGUCGGAGGGGUAAGCGGAAUUCCUAGUGUAGCGGUGAAAUGCGUAGAUAUUAGGAGGAACACCAGUGGCGAAGGCGGCUUACUGGACGAUAACUGACGCUGAGGCUCGAAAGCGUGGGGAGCAAACAGGAUUAGAUACCCUGGUAGUCCACGCCGUAAAC
rnacentral:rRNA from 1 species